rnacentral:rRNA from 1 species
AUGGAUGUAGCAAAACGAACAGCCGGUUCCAGCAAUAAUUUACUCUGGUUCCAGCAAAAAUUCCACGAACGUCAAACUCCAUCAAAUUGGAUUGUAGCAAAAGAAACAGCCAGUUCCAGCAACAAAUUACUCUGGUUCCAGCAAAAAUCCCACAAAACAUCAAAAUCCAACAAAUUUGAUUGUAGCAAGAGAAACAGCCGGUUCCAGCAACAAUUUAAUCUGUUCCAACAAAAAUCCCACAAACAUCAAAUCCAACAAAAGUUGAUUGUAGCAAAAAUAACAGGAGGUUCCAGCAACAAAAAACAGUCGCCGAUCGCAGCUACCCGCGAUGACAGUUGCAGCUAA